GCAGUGGGCGGCGACGCCGGCAGCUGGGACGAGGAGGGCCUCCUGGUCACCCUUCUGGGGGCCCGUACUGUCAUGCCUCAGAGCUGGCAAGUCGUCCCAGGGAAGACAACGGCCUUCCUGGAGGGAGGGAACCUUGUGGUUAGGCGCAUGGGGUGCGAAGCAGGGCCUCUACUUGGCCGACGCAGCUAGAAGACUAAGGUCAGGGGCAUUCUGGAUGCAGCCCACAAAGCUAGCUCUCUGUGGCACUGAGCAAGAUCAUCUCAGCCUCUCCUGAACUGUGACCAACUGGCUUACUCAAGGGACUGGAUCUGCUGUCCCGACAUGAUGGCAAGCUGCAGCACAUCAUGCAGAUUAAAGUUCAGCCUGCCUCAGACUCAGGAUAAAAACACAUUUGGGACAGUCUCGCUCAGCCUCAUUGCAGAGACAAGAAAUGUAUGAAAAGAAAGUACAGAGAAAAAAAAAGAAUGGAAUACACAUGAAUGCCGAACCACAUUGGAUAUGUAGCUGUUCAUGAAGAUAUUCCAGGGAAGGCCUAUCUAGUAGAGCCUCAAAUCUAUUUGAAUACAAAUGGCACUCAUUAAGGACAUCUGUCUUCUGUAAUGUCUACACAAAGUCUUACCGGGGUCUUCUUGGCUCUUAUUGACGGCUGAUGAAGGAGGGGUUUAUAAAGAAAACAAGCCAAAACCUGAAUAACUUGCUACUGAGAGCAGCACACAUAUUUUCCCAAAGUGCAAAGUUGAGAAGAAGUACAAAGCUUUGUUAAUAUUCUGAACAGUACUGCUUAGUAUGAUCUAAUUGAUGGAUUUUCCAUGGACUCCCUAGAGACUGAAAAAGGUUUGACUGUCAGGAAACUUUUCUUGUGUUUAUUCUUCAAUUUUCCUUUUCCUACUUUCCAAUCAUCAUUCCCUAUUAACAUCCCUUGAUGGGUCACCUUAAGUGAUUAUUCUUUUUAAUGGCAUUUAUAACGUUUAAUAUUUCCCUGUUAAUUUCUAUUCCGACAAAGUACAUAUUUUUUUAAUCUUCACUCAUAACAUUAAUAAAUUUUUCCAACAUUUUAAA